AAAACUUUAGCGCCAGGCUGGCUGGAUGGGCCGCGGGAAGGGUAUUUUCCAUGGCAGGAUAUCGGUUCAGCUGACGAGGAGUAGGGUUAUCGAAAAGAAUUCGGCGGGUGCCCUACCGGACCGCACAGACGAAAGCUCUGUAACAAAAUCGGAGGUGACUCCGGAACAAAAAUCAGAGCAG
rnacentral:ncRNA from 1 species